AGCAGAGAGCUUGUUUCUUCUAUGAUCCCAGUGAUCUCCUGUCUGGCAUCCAGGCAGCCUGAAGGAGAAAACCAUCUGAUUCAAAUGCUGAGGAGAGAAAAGGCAGACCAGAAGGGAAGGAGAGGAAUAGAUUGGAACAAGGAGCCUGGAAUCUUUCUCAAAUGAACUAUUUGUAGCUGGCCCUUUAAAUCCGAGAGAGAAAACCAGCCACAGCCUUCAGGUGGCCAUUUUGCAUCUAACUGCAGGCUGCAUUCUUUGCCCACUGAGGGCUAGGGUGCAAAGGAGUAGAAUAUCCAUGUGAAUGGGAACAAAGAGAUGAGGUGUGGGAACAUACCUACAAAACCAGAGACUGGGUAGGUUGGACUGGCAAAGGAAGCUUGCGGAAGGAGACAGGAACUAAUGGACUAGCCAGAGGGGGACGAAGUUGACUGCAGAGAUCACUGAGACUGCUUGAUUAAGAAAAAAAGCCAUCUUCAGGAGAGGAAGGAUCCAGGACUCCUGAAAAGACAAGGUCCCAAAUCCCAAAGAAAGUUCAAGAAUGAGUCUAGGUGGACCUGAUCUGGAAUGAAUCACCAUUGUGUAGUGAAGGAUCCUGUUGUCUGUACGACCUCUGACGCACAUUUGUCAUAGAAGUCGGAAGUGAAAUGACAGGAAUGAAGAAAAACCUACGUAGAGACCUGAAAAUAGCAGAAGUCAUUGGGAAGAAUAGUAUGAGAAGCAGGAUUCAUGGCCUCAACAGUGCGCCCUCUUCCUAUGAUGUGGUGGCAGCUGCAAGGAUACUAAAGAAAACAGCCUUCUAAUUUAAACAAGAGGCGGGUUGCUUUCAGUGAAGAGUCUGCUCUUCUGAAAUUUAUUACACACUCUCCCCAACAGAACCUGACUUUGUCGACGUUUAAGGCAUGCGGUAUUGUUUAGGCUUUCCCCACAAGGGUGGUUUGUAUGGAAGAACUACAGUUGAGGUAUAUUGGGAGCCUCUUUUAGGAAUAUUAAGGCAUUUAAAUUUUUAUAAAAAUGUUUAUUUAAAAAACACACAAUCAAUCAAUUUGCCAAUAGAGAAAUAAUUAAGGAACUGUUUACAGAACAAACUCUAAAAAACACAGGAAUUCACAAAUGUUGCAGUAUUAAUUUGGGCAUUCCCAAUUCUAUUGGUCAAUACCUCCCAUUCAAACUGCAGGACAAUUAGGAGGAACAUAAUGUCUAAAAAUGCAUUUAAAGAAUUUUUCAGUAAACUUGAUUGGAAUGUAUCUACUGUCAGUAUAAACUUGGUAGUUUUAUACUUUGAGGUGCAUUACAAUUACCAUGCAAAUCAGACACAACUAAUACUGUACUCUGACCACUUAUGCAAUUGGCAGCCAGCUGUGAGCCACAUGUUUGAUUGCUAAUGAUGAUUAAAGCUGGACAAAUUAUUUGAAACACAUUACAUUAUUCAACAACUGGAGUUUUUUAAAACUAUCUAUAAAGAGAUUUUGAUUUUUACAAAUCUAUUCCCUGUUCACUUGCUUGAGGUACACUUUAACAUAGUUCAGCCUUUGGAUUGCUUGCAAGUUGUCCAUUUUGACUGCAGUUUAGACUAUUCAUUAUUUGUUUUGUGUGAUAGUCCAGUGGUAUUAUUCUUGCUUCCUGCUUGGAUGACCAAAACUUUUCUAAACAGGAAGAAAACAAAAAUUUCAUAAGGGCUUCAUAAACAUUUACAGCACAACCACAG